CCUACGGGGGAAAAAUUUAUUGCUAUUAGAUGAGCCUAUAUUAGAUUAGCUAGUUGGUGGAGUAAUAGCCUACCAAGGCAAUGAUCUAUAGCUGAUCUGAGAGGAUGACCAGCCACACUGGAACUGAGAUACGGUCCAGACUCCUACGGGAGGCAGCAGUGGGGAAUAUUGGACAAUGGGCGAAAGCCUGAUCCAGCCAUGCCGCAUGAGUGAAGAAGGCCCUUGGGUUGUAAAGCUCUUUUAGUGAGGAAGAUAAUGACGGUACUCACAGAAGAAGUCCUGGCUAACUCCGUGCCAGCAGCCGCGGUAAUACGGAGAGGGCUAGCGUUAUUCGGAAUUAUUGGGCGUAAAGGGCGCGUAGGCGGAUUAGUAAGUUAAAAGUGAAAUCCCAAGGCUCAACCUUGGAAUUGCUUUUAAAACUGCUAAUCUAGAGAUUGAAAGAGGAUAGAGGAAUUCCUAGUGUAGAGGUGAAGUUCGUAAAUAUUAGGAGGAACACCAGUGGCGAAGGCGUCUAUCUGGUUCAAAUCUGACGCUGAGGCGCGAAGGCGUGGGGAGCAAACAGGAUUAGAUACCCUGGUAGUCCACGCUGUAAACGAUGAAUGUUAAAUAUGGGAAGUUUUACUUUCUGUAUUACAGCUAACGCGUUAAACAUUCCGCCUGGGGACUACGGUCGCAAGAUUAAAACUCAAAGGAAUUGACGGGGACCCGCACAAGCGGUGGAGCAUGUGGUUUAAUUCGAUGCAACGCGAAAAACCUUACCACUCCUUGACAUGGAAAUUAUACCUAUUCGAAGGGAUAGG
rnacentral:rRNA from 1 species